rnacentral:rRNA from 1 species
AACGAACGCUGGCGGCGUGCCUAACACAUGCAAGUCGAACGGAUGUAGCAAUACAUUAGUGGCGCACGGGUGAGUAACGCGUGGGAAUCUGCCUUAUAGACUGGGAUAACACUGGGAACUAGUGCUAAUACCGGAUACGCCCUUAGGGGGAAAGUUUUUCGCUAUAAGAUGAGCCCGCGUUGGAUUAGCUAGUUGGUGAGGUAAAGGCUCACCAAGGCGACGAUCCAUAGCUGGUCUGAGAGGAUGAUCAGCCACACUGGGACUGAGACUCGGCCCAGACUCCUACGGGAGGCAGCAGUGGGGAAUAUUGGACAAUGGGGGGAACCCUGAUCCAGCCAUGCCGCGUGUGUGAAGAAGGCCUUAUGGUUGUAAAGCACUUUAAGCGAGGAGGAGGCUCUUUUGGUUAAUACCCAAGAUGAGUGGACGUUACUCGCAGAAUAAGCACCGGCUAACUCUGUGCCAGCAGCCGCCGUAA